rnacentral:rRNA from 1 species
CCUACGGGUGGGCAGCAGUGGGGAAUAUUGGGCAAUGGGCGCAAGCCUGACCCAGCAAUGCCGCGUGAAGGAAGAAGGCUUUCGGGUUGUAAACUUCUUUGACAGGGGAAGAGCAGAAGACGGUACCCUGAAAACAAGCCACGGCUAACUACGUGCCAGCAGCCGCGGUAAUACGUAGGUGGCAAGCGUUGUCCGGAAUUACUGGGUGUAAAGGGAGCGUAGGCGGGGAUGCAAGUUGGGUGUCAAAACUACCGGCUCAACUGGUAGUCGCACUCAAAACUGCAGCUCUUGAGUGAAGUAGAGGCAGGCGGAAUUCCUAGUGUAGCGGUGAAAUGCGUAGAUAUUAGGAGGAACACCAGUGGCGAAGGCGGCCUGCUGGGCUUUUACUGACGCUGAGGCUCGAAAGUGUGGGGAGCAAACAGGAUUAGAUACCCGAGUAGUC